GAUGAACGCUGGCGGUAUGCUUAACACAUGCAAGUCGAACGGACUCUUCGGAGUUAGUGGCGGACGGGUGAGUAACGCGUGAGAAUCUGGCUUUGGGUUCGGGACAACCACUGGAAACGGUGGCUAAUACCGGAUGUGCCGAGAGGUAAAAGAGAAAUUGCCUGAAGAUGAGCUCGCGUCUGAUUAGCUAGUUGGUGAGGUAAAGGCUCACCAAGGCAGCGAUCAGUAGCUGGUCUGAGAGGAUGACCAGCCACGCUGGGACUGAGACACGGCCCAGACUCCUACGGGAGGCAGCAGUGGGGAAUUUUCCGCAAUGGGCGAAAGCCUGACGGAGCAAUACCGCGUGAGGGAAGAAGGCUCUUGGGUUGUAAACCUCUUUUCUUAGGGAAGAACAAAAUGACGGUACCUAAGGAAUCAGCAUCGGCUAACUCCGUG
rnacentral:rRNA from 1 species